AAGGAAUAUUGGACAAUGGAGGCAACUCUGAUCCAGCCAUGCCGCGUGAAGGAAUAAGGCCCUAUGGGUUGUAAACUUCUUUUAGACGGGACAAAACCCCUUUACGUGUAAAGGGUUGAUGGUACUGUCAGAAUAAGCAUCGGCUAACUUCGUGCCAGCAGCCGCGGUAAUACGAAGGAUGCAAGCGUUAUCCGGAAUUAUUGGGUUUAAAGGGUGCGUAGGCGGACUAAUAAGUCAGUGGUGAAAGCCUGCAGCUUAACUGCAGAAUUGCCAUUGAUACUGUUAGUCUUGAGUACAGUUGAGGUAGGCGGAAUGUGUCAUGUAGCGGUGAAAUGCUUAGAUAUGACACAGAACACCGAUUGCGAAGGCAGCUUGCUAAGCUGUAACUGACGCUAAGGCACGAAAGCGUGGGGAGCAAACA
rnacentral:rRNA from 1 species